rnacentral:rRNA from 1 species
AGCUCCAAUAGCGUAUACUAAUGUUGUUGCAGUUAAAAAGCUCGUAGUUGAAUUUCUGGGUAGCCCACUUCGUCUGCUGGAAACAGUGUGUACGAUGCUUGGACUAUUCAUCCUUCAGAAGAACCUAUGUGGCAUUCAUUUGUCAUGUAGGGGAUCUGAUACUUUACCUUGAAAAAAUUAGAGUGUUUCAGGCAGGCAAUCGCCGGAAUACAUUAGCAUGGAAUAAUUGAAUAGGACUUUGGUUCUAUUUGUUGGUUUUGUGGACCGAAGUAAUGAUUAAUAGGGAUAGUUGGGGGCAUUCGUAUUUAAUUGUCAGAGGUGAAAUUCAUGGAUUUGUUAAAGACGAACUUAUGCGAAAGCAUUUGCCAAGGAUGUUUUCAUUAAUCAAGAACGAAAGUAG